CAAUGAUGUCCCAGCAGCUGAAGGAAGCAGGCCUGGCACAGCUGUACUGUCUUGGAUCAGUAACGCCAUGCCUCAACCUGUGAAUGCUAACAACUCUGCCAACAAGG